rnacentral:rRNA from 1 species
AGUGAACGCUGGCGGUAGGCCUAACACAUGCAAGUCGAACGGCAGCACAGUAAGAGCUUGCUCUUACGGGUGGCGAGUGGCGGACGGGUGAGGAAUACAUCGGAAUCUACUUUUUCGUGGGGGAUAACGUAGGGAAACUUACGCUAAUACCGCAUACGACCUACGGGUGAAAGCAGGGGAUCUUCGGACCUUGCGCGAUUGAAUGAGCCGAUGUCGGAUUAGCUAGUUGGCGGGGUAAAGGCCCACCAAGGCGACGAUCCGUAGCUGGUCUGAGAGGAUGAUCAGCCACCCUGGAACUGAGACACGGUCCAGCCCCCUACGGGAGGCAGCAGUGGGGAAUAUUGGACAAUGGGCGCAAGCCUGAUCCAGCCAUACCGCGUGGGUGAAGAAGGCCUUCGGGUUGUAAAGCCCUUUUGUUGGGAAAGAAAAGCAGCAGGUUAAUACCCCGCUGUUCGGACGGUACCCAAAGAAAAAGCACCGGCAAACUUCGU